rnacentral:tRNA from 1 species
UUAGUUGAAACCAAAAUAGAGGUAAAUUAUUGUUAAUAAUUUUAUUGAAUUAAACUCCAAUUAAU